rnacentral:rRNA from 1 species
AGUGAACGCUGGCGGUAGGCCUAACACAUGCAAGUCGAACGGCAGCACAGUAAGAGCUUGCUCUUACGGGUGGCGAGUGGCGGACGGGUGAGGAAUACAGCGGAAUCUACUUUUUCGUGGGGGAUAACGUAGGGAAACGUACGCUAAUACCGCAUACGACCUACGGGUGAAAGCAGGGGAUCUUCGGACCUUGCGCGAUUGAAUGAGCCGCUGUCGGAUUAGCUAGUUGGCGGGGUAAAGGCCCACCAAGGCGACGAUCCGUAGCUGGUCUGAGAGGAUGAUCAGCCACACUGGAACUGAGACACGGUCCAGACUCCUACGGGAGGCAGCAGUGGGGAAUAUUGGACAAUGGGCGCAAGCCUGAUCCAGCCAUACCGCGUGGGUGAAGAAGGCCUUCGGGUUGUAAAGCCCUUUUGUUGGGAAAGAAAAGCAGCAGGUUAAUACCCCGCUGUUCUGACGGUACCCAAAGAAUAAGCACCGGCUAACUUCGUG